ensembl:lncRNA
CUGUUUAUAAACAUACACCAAUAUGUGAAUGAUAUAAGGGUUUUGCUGACACCAUGAUUCAAAGGCCGGAUGUGGUGGUAGUUAUAAAUAGUGAUGUGUCUAAAUGUGUCACUAAAUAAAUAAAACACACACACACACACACACACAAGCACAAGAUCACUAUCUUGCACUACCCAUCCUCACAAGCACAAGAACAUUAUAUUUUUUUGCACUAUUCACACCAGCAGCACAAGAUCACUUUUCACUUUCCUCCUGGACACCGACACUGUCAAAAUCAUUGCACUCUGUACAAUAGGGUCAGACCCUUUCCUGUAUCUGGAAACACUCUGUGUGAAUAUGUUCUCCCUAUGUGUAUGUAUAUGUGAUUUAUGUAUGUAUGUCGGUGAGGUGUAUAAGUGUAUAUGUGUAUGUGUAUAAGCUACUGGAUGACCUAAAUUUCCCUCGGGAUUAAUAAAGUAUCCAUCUAUCUAUUUAUCUAUCUAUCUAAAUGUGGGGGUGGGGUUAACGAAUCAAGUAGAAUGAGAACUGCUGACUUGGAGACAGGUCUUGCCAACCAAACAUCGUAAGUUAACAGUCCGUGCUACUUUAAGGAAAACCAUAGCAGAAAAAAACGCAUUCAUGGUAACAGACAUAUGUGGUGCAACAACUGUCAGAAGUGAGAGGGCGGUUCCUUCAAACAAAAGCCUGACUGUCAUUAUUGCCCAUCAAACAUACAGUAGCACAGCGACUUAAUCUCCUGGAUUAUUCAGUGAAACCAUGGUGUCAGUUUCCAUCUGUAUACCGUUGCUGUGCUCAGUUAUUUGUGGAUAUGGGAGCUGUGCAGAUGGAACACACGUAAAAGGUGUUGGGUCUGCCUGGGACAAGCCUGGAGAAGCCAAGGCAAGGAGCCAUCAUCCAAGCGAGACUAAAGGCAAGGUUUUCAUGCAGUGCAAGAUAUGUAAAUAUGUCCUGAAGAAACUUAAGCAAUCAUUCGGUUCUGCAGAAAUUACCAAGGUAAAUUGGAAUUGUAAACUCUUUCACUCUCCCUCUAACAGUCUUAUGCAUUUGUAUACUGCUCAUAGGAGGUGUCAACAGUGAGCUUAAUGUUAUUUCAGACAGAGUUAAUUUACUCUCUCAUCUCAGGAAGCCCAUAGUAAAUAUGUCAACCGCAUCGUAUUUAUUUAUUUAUUUUUACAGGAAGAAGUGGAAAAGAAACUGAGAGGAAUCUGUAAGAAAACGCCUGUGUUCAAGGGAACCUGCCAGAAAUAUGUUGACAAAAACAUAGACAAAUUGGCUGACGCUUUUGUAAAAACUCAAGAUACUGAGAAAGCCUGCAUUAGCUUGAAGUUUUGCAAGUAAGUCUCAAUACACAAACAAUAUCAAUGCAUGGAACAUGUUUUUCCACUUUUCUGAAAUUUCAUUGGGACUGCUUUGGGAUCAUCUUGCACAGUACCACAGCUACACAUAUUUUGUACACAGAGAUGGGCAGUAUUUGAAUUAAAUGCAUUUAAAAUACGUAUUUAGUUACCUUUGAAUAUUUUGUAUUAAGCAUUUUGCUGGACAGAAAAUAAUCAUGUAAUUUGUAGGACUACUAGGACUACUAAAGAGUACGCCCUCGUGAUCUGUUUUUUUUUUUAUGACCCAUAACCCAAGGAAAGAAGCUGCUUUGGUGUUCAUGGCCUUAAAAAACAACAAGAAUAUGUUGUUAUAAAAGUAGUUGAAAGCACUUCUCUUUCUCUUUU